UGAGGAAUAUUGGUCAAUGGGAGAGAUCCUGAACCAGCCAAGCCGCGUGAGGGAAGAUGGCCCUAUGGGUUGUAAACCUCUUUUGUCGGAGAACAAAACCCGGGACGUGUCCCGGACUGCGUGUAUCCGAAGAAAAGCAUCGGCUAACUCCGUGCC
rnacentral:rRNA from 1 species